GGGUUGUUAGCUCAGUGGUAGAGCAGGACGCUUUUAACGUCUUGGCCGAUGGUUCGAAUCCAUCACGACCCACCA
rnacentral:tRNA from 1 species